rnacentral:rRNA from 1 species
GAUCGCGGCGACGUGGUCGGUUCGCUGCCGGCGACGUCGCGAGAAGUCCACUGAAACCUUAUCAUUUAGAGGAAGGAGAAGUCGUAACAAGGGUUUCCGUAGGUGAACCUGCGGAAGGAUCAUUGUCGAG